UACGAAGGGGGCUAGCGUUGCUCGGAAUCACUGGGCGUAAAGGGUGCGUAGGCGGGUCUUUAAGUCAGGGGUGAAAUCCUGGAGCUCAACUCCAGAACUGCCUUUGAUACUGAAGAUCUUGAGUUCGGGAGAGGUGAGUGGAACUGCGAGUGUAGAGGUGAAAUUCGUAGAUAUCGUCAAGAACAUCAGUGGCGAAGGCGGCUGCCUGGUCUGAUACUGACGCUGAGGCGCGACAGCGUGGGGAGCAAACAGG
rnacentral:rRNA from 1 species